rnacentral:rRNA from 1 species
GACGAACGCUGGCGGCGUGCUUAACACAUGCAAGUGGAGCGACGAACCAGGCUUCGGCCUGGGGCAAAGCCGCGAACGGGUGAGUAACACGUGGGUAACCUGCCCCGAUGACCGGGACAACCCGAGGAAACUCGGGCUAAUACCGGAUGUGCCCCCUCACAUCAGUGAGGUGUGUAAAGGAAGCUUCGCCUCCGCAUCGGGAUGAGCCCGCGGCCCGAUUAGCCUGUUGGUGAGGUAAAGGCUCACCAAGGCUGCGAUGGGUAGCUGGUCUGAGAGGACGAUCAGCCACACUGGGACUGAGACACGGCCCAGACUCCUACGGGAGGCAGCAGUGGGGAAUCUUGCGCAAUGCAC